CCUACGGGAGGCAGCAGUGGGGAAUAUUGGACAAUGGGCGCAAGCCUGAUGCAGCCAUGCCGCGUGUAUGAAGAAGGCCUUCGGGUUGUAAAGUACUUUCAGCGGGGAGGAAGGGAGUAAAGUUAAUACCUUUGCUCAUUGACGUUACCCGCAGAAGAAGCACCGGCUAACUCCGUGCCAGCAGCCGCGGUAAU
rnacentral:rRNA from 1 species